UACGUAGGGGGCAAGCGUUGUCCGGAUUUAUUGGGCGUAAAGCGCGCGUAGGCGGCAAGGUAUGUCGUGCGUGAAAUCUCCCGGCUUAACUGGGAGGGGCCGUGCGAAACUGCCUGGCUUGAGGUCGGAAGGGGAAAGUGGAAUUCCGGGUGUAGUGGUGGAAUACGUAGAUAUCCGGAGGAACACCAGCGGCGAAGGCGGCUUUCUGGUCCGAUUCUGACGCUGAGGCGCGAAAGCGUGGGGAGCGAUCCGGAUUAGAUACCCGGGUAGUCCACGCCGUAAACGAUGAGUACUAGGUGUCGGGGGUAUCGACCCCCUCGGUGCCGUCGCUAACGCAUUAAGUACUCCGCCUGGGGACUACGGCCGCAAGGCUAAA
rnacentral:rRNA from 1 species